rnacentral:sRNA from 1 species
AUUCUGUACAUCAUUCAACAACAUGUCUCAACACGGCAAAGACAAGCUCCCCACUCCCGGGCUGAAGCGCAAGCUAAAGACCCACACCAUUGAAACAAAGUUUCAAGCCAUUGCCGAUGUCGAAAGAGAGAAGACCAUCAAAAACUGCUUCCGUCACGCCAACUUCGUAAGUGCCGCCACCAAUGAGCAUGCAGAUUCCCCUGACAGCGAUGAGGAAGAUCCAGAAGAUGACAUCCCCCUAGCCGCCCUCCGCCUUCGUGUGCCGUUUGAUGACUACGCCCAGAUCGACGAGACAGUGAUAACGACAGAAGCAGUCUCAGAUAAAGACAUCGUGGACAACAUCAUCGCAGCUAGACACAAAGAAGCAGAAGAAGAAGUAUCAGAACCCACGGAGCCACCAAAGAAGAAGCCUACUCUACAGAAAGUCGACGCCGCCCUCGAAGUAAUUCAAGACUGGAUCGAGAUGACAGAAGACACAGAGGACCUGCUUCCCAGCUAUCAGAAGAUACAUCGACGAGUGACUUCAGCACAAGUCCGUGCAUCUGUUUUAGUACACCGCGCUCCUCAGUGA